rnacentral:ncRNA from 1 species
UGAGGGGAAGCCGAAAACCUUGGAAGAGAGUAGGCG